rnacentral:rRNA from 1 species
CUGGUGGCGAGUGGCGAACGGGUGAGUAAUACAUCGGAACAUGUCCUGUAGUGGGGGAUAGCCCGGCGAAAGCCGGAUUAAUACCGCAUACGAUCUACGGAUGAAAGCGGGGGACCUUCGGGCCUCGCGCUAUAGGGUUGGCCGAUGGCUGAUUAGCUAGUUGGUGGGGUAAAGGCCUACCAAGGCGACGAUCAGUAGCUGGUCUGAGAGGACGACCAGCCACACUGGGACUGAGACACGGCCCAGACUCCUACGGGAGGCAGCAGUGGGGAAUUUUGGACAAUGGGCGAAAGCCUGAUCCAGCAAUGCCGCGUGUGUGAAGAAGGCCUUCGGGUUGUAAAGCACUUUUGUCCGGAAAGAAAUCCUUGGUUCUAAUAUAGCCGGGGGAUGACGGUACCGGAAGAAUAAGCACCGGCUAACUACGUGCCAGCAGCCGCGGUAAUACGUAGGGUGCGAGCGUUAAUCGGAAUUACUGGGCGUAAAGCGUGCGCAGGCGGUUUGCUAAGACCGAUGUGAAAUCCCCGGGCUCAACCUGGGAACUGCAUUGGUGACUGGCAGGCUAGAGUAUGGCAGAGGGGGGUAGAAUUCCACGUGUAGCAGUGAAAUGCGUAGAGAUGUGGAGGAAUAC